rnacentral:rRNA from 1 species
AUCUAUGGGCAUACCACUCUAAAUGUGCCCAAUCUUAUCUGAUCCCAUGAAGCUAAGCAGGGUUUGGCGCUGAUUAGUAGUAGGAUGGGCGACCAGAGAGGUAAGAUAAUGGAAU